rnacentral:rRNA from 1 species
CUCGUAGGCGGCCAACUAAGUCAGACGUGAAAUCCCUCGGCUUAACCGGGGAACUGCAUCUGAUACUGGAUGGCUUGAGUUCGGGAGAGGGAUGCGGAAUUCCAGGUGUAGCGGUGAAAUGCGUAGAUAUCUGGAGGAACACCGGUGGCGAAGGCGGCAUCCUGGACCGACACUGACGCUGAGGAGCGAAAGCCAGGGGAGCAAACG